UCGACUCGUCCAUAGUUGGAGUCGACUCGGGCACUGUACUCAGAAAAUACUUCUCUGUCUUUGCUCUUGGAGUCGGCUCGGUCUCGGACGGAGUCGACCCGCGCUCUGUACAUAGAAAUCCUUCUUUCUGUCAAUCCAUCGGGAGUCGACUCGCCCGAAGUGGGAGUCGGCUCGAGUGUGUGCUAUUUAACCGCCUUUGUGCUAGAGUCGACUCGAGAAUCUUUCAGAGUUGACUCGAACGCAGGGUGAAAAUUGAGAUUGGUUCUAAACAUAGUAAUGGUGGAAUUAAAAGCCCCUUGAACCAAUUAUUUAAAUUAUUCUAGCACAUUCAACAAUAUUUUCCUGAAACACUCAUUUGAAUUCAUUAGUAUAAUAUGAAAUAUACUUAAGUGUUUUGGGCUCAUCAAAAUCAAAUAGGGAAAUAACAAUCACUCAACACAAGGAAAAAUAUUUCCAUUGCAACGAAGACGGCCAUUGGAAGAGGAACUGUCCUAUCUACAUGGGGAGUAUAAAGAGCAAGAAGGAAGACACGCCUUCUGAAGGUAUGUCAGAUAUGCUCAUUAUUGAAACUAAUCUGACAGUUUCUUCUACUUUCAGUUGGGAUAUAGAUUCUGGUUCUAGUGCUCACUUGUGCACUACUAUGCAGGGUCUAAAGAAAAGUAGAAGGCUCACGGAAGGUGCGAUAACCAUCCGGGUUGGCAAUAGAGCAAGAGUUGCUGCUGUUGCUAUGGGCACCUAUUCUCUACAAUUACCGUCUGGAUUUAGUUUGAUACUAAAGGACUGUUAUUUUGUACCUGUUGCCAGCAGAAAUCUGAUUUCUGUAUUUUGU
rnacentral:lncRNA from 1 species